rnacentral:lncRNA from 1 species
UAUGAGGAAACGGACGGACGUUGUUCUCAUUCAUUUAAUUUCCCGUCGGUUACGUCUCAUCCCUUAUCCCAAAUUAAAUUGUUAUCGUUCUUCUUGGCCUAUGGUUCUUGAGACGAGAGAGGGUGUUGGGGGUCUUUCCGGCAACUACCUGCUACUCCGAUCACCACCUUCCUUUCCUCCAAACUGAUUCAGCGAAGUCGUGAAAAAACCGAAUGAACAAUAAGGAGAAAAAGGGGUUGUGACUGUGAAGCUUUCUGGCGACGACUAGGGUUUCGGCAUGAGUCUUUUGAGGUAGCGGGUUUGUUGAGACUCUAUCUAACCAUUUAGUUAUCACAGUGCAUGGCUGAUGUCGAUUGUACCAUAAUGAUGUGAACGUCGAUGUGUAUGUGGUUGAAUUCAGUAGAUAAAACGAGCCUGUAUUUGAGGCGUGUCUUCUUCCAAAGAGUUGUCUUCUUACUAACUGUUGUUGAUCGAGAUGAUGGAUUUCGUGGGAUCGAUGAUUAUCUUCAGUCAACAAAAGAUACAUCACAUAAAUGAACGUUCUUGAGUACAUGUGCUCGUGAGGGACCAUGAGAAGGUUAUUGUGCAACAGUCCUUAUAUAUUUGCUAAGGUAACUUCAUUAUUUUAAUCAUGGAAAAUAAUUCUAGUGGUAAAGUCAUGCAAAUGUGGCUGUAAUAUAUGAGGGUGUUUUCAUGAAAUGUGCAUCAUUACAAACCAUACAUUAAGGUAGUAAUUGAUAUAUAGUCAUUUACGUCAAAGAAGUAAACUGAAAUUGUACAAAAAUGAAGAAGUAAACUAUUUAUAGUAAUAAUUUCCAGUCGGGAUAAUAUAUAAUUGAUUAGGACGUAGAAUUAUAUUAAAUCCUAAUUAUCGUGAUAUAACAUGAUUCACCUUGGGACAAAAAUUCAUAUUAAUAUAGCAAGUGAUGGAGUGAAAACUUAUUAAUAGUGAAUUUACUUUAUAAUUAGAAUUGUGGGAAUAACAUGUUGACGUUGUUGUAGGAUGUCCACUUGAAUUGGUAAUUUGUAAACAAGUUUCAAUUUGCCAAAUUGUUAACCAGAAUAACCUUUGACAUUAUAUUACGUAAAUGAUAUUUGUAUAACAGAGAUUCUUUCAUUGGAAUGGACAUAUAUGGUUUACCUUGGUAAAUAAAUAUGAUGGUGAGAAAUUAUAUAAUUAUGGUGGGAUGAAGUUUUAAUGGUUUUAGUGGCUUAAACCUGUGAAUGGUCUAAAUUACGCAUGAUCGUGUUAUAAAUAAUAAUAAUAAUAUUAAACAACGAUGGGUAGAUUAUUAAAUUAUAAUCACAAGUAGUAACGGUUAUGACUACGAAGUUGUAAUUACUUAGUGAUAAAGUUAUAUGUGUUAAGAGGGGAGGAUUUGGCAACUUCAAGUGAACACGAGACUUGAAGUAGUAAAGAUGGAUUCGUCGAGGAAUAAGGUGAGUACUUGUUAGGAAUAAGCUAGGUGAGUCAAUCUUUAUAGUUAUUUAAAGUACUUGUUAAGAAUUCCACAUUUUAGAGGGAUUGGAAUGAACCUAGAAUGUUUAGGUUGCAUGUACCCCAAAUGUGAAUGAUAUGUUGAUGUGAAUGAUGUUUCUUUCAUGCUCUUCUUUUGUUUGCUAUUUUGAUGUGAAGGGUGUGAUAGGUCCAUGAUAAAAUUAAGGAUUUGUGAUAGUUGUGUGUGGUAUGUGCAUGCUAUGAUUUUUUGGAAAUACUUGUCUAUGUUGGUUAGGACAAUACAUGCUAGUGAUAUAAUAUGCCUUAACGAUGAAAUGAUGAUAUGUGCAUGAUUAUAUGAAGUUGUAAAAUGCCUAAAAUUGUUAUGUCUUGUUGCAUGUUUAUGUGUUUUGAAGUAUGGAAGUAAUAUGCUAGUUAAUAUUAAUAGAAAUUGAGCAUGAUUACUUAAGGAGGUUUGUAGUGUAAUCAUUGUGUGAUGAAUUAAUAAUAUGUUAAAUAAAAAAGGGAAUACACCACUGGGGCGUAAAUGGUAGCAACCUAGACUUAGGUGUGUGUACCCUAUCCAGAUAUUUGUGAGGGCCUUAUAGGUUGAAAGAUACCUAAAGGGAAAGAUCUUAAGGCAAUAGUGAUGCAUAGUGGUUUUUUUAGACAACCAUUCGAGACAUGGUUCAUGAACACUAAGGUGUUCGAGGACUGGAUGGGAAGUUUCUAGUGAUAGGAAACAAUGAUAAUUACCACCCUCGAACGACAAUGCGUGUACUUGUAUGUGCAAUGCCAGAGUAGUGAUUAGUGAACGCAACAAAACGGGAGCAAUGUUACGAGUGAGAGUCGCGUCUCACUUAGUGCAUUGAGUCGAGUCGGUCACGUUAGUAGUGAAUGAGGUUUUUACCUCUUGGGUUAGUGAUGGACCCAGGGUUAGUGAUAGACCCAUUGAGGGAAGGGUUAGGCUGGUGUAACGCCCGUAGAUCCGGGCUAGUCAAUUUAGAGAUAAUAGGGGUCGAAAACGACUUUUUGACAAAAUAUUAUUUAGAAUAAAUGAUCUUAACCAAGUUGUAGAAUAUGUCUCAAGGGUUCCGUACAUAUAAAGAACGCCGAAAUCCGAGUUAUAACGAAGAAGUUAUGGCUCGUCGAAGUUUUUCGGCAAAACCGACACGACACCGGGAGACGUAAAUAGUGAAGUUACAUUGGAGGACUUUUUAGCCUUAGUAAUAUAAACCAAAUUUGUAGUAUACGUAAAACAGAGAACAUCCAUAAAAAGAACGCCCAAAUCUGACUUCGUAUGAGGAAGUUAUGAUUUUUCUAAGAUUUGACAUAGCAGUGCACGACCUGAAACUUGAAUUUUAGUUCGAACGGUUUUUGGCUUACGCAACCUUAAUGAGAUUUGAAGAUCUCAUUAAUAGGAACCCAACGGUAAAAAGAUAGACGAAAACGGAGUCUGUAUGAAGGAGUUAUGAAUUCUCCGCGGUCAUUUAACAGUCUAAUCUUCUCCUACUGUUAAAUUUAAGAUCGGCUGAGAACUAGAAAACGGAGUCCAAAUGAAAGUUGUAGAUCUUGUUAUUACCUACGCAUGGAAAAAAAGAACGUCAAAAACGGAGUUCGUAUGCGAAAGUUAUGAAUUUUUGAAAAUCGGCUGAUUUCCACCCUGUGUGCGUCGCCACGUGUCAACACCAGGCGAAACCUUGGAGCCUACGCAACACCACGACAUGGUGAGGGCCACCACGACAUGGUGACGUUCCAGGAGCACUAUAAAUAGAGGUGCCGGGGCAACCCUCAACCUCACACCUUCACCCCUUCUUUCUCUCUCUAGAAACUCUCUCUUAAACCUCCCAAAACCCCCCAAAAAGCCCAGGGAACCCCCUAGCACGAGGCGGAAGCCCCGGAGCGCCUGACGGCUUCGAAAGGAAGAGCCUUCAGCUCAGAAACUCUACUCCGGCGGAGCCCGGUUUCUAAGGAAACCCGCUGUAAGUGAGCUAUACCUACCCUAUCUUUAGUAUAACUUAUGUUUUAAUAUAGUAACAUUAUUUGGAACUUAUAAUGAGUAUUUGGGCUAUUAUUAUGAGUUAUAUAAGAGUGUUUCUUAACGCUUAUAUAAUAGUAAUAAUAUCUAGACUAUUAAUUAGUCGUGGUUAACGUUAGACUAAACUCUAGUGGUAAUGAUACUAGGUUUUGUCCGAUGGAAAUUGUUUUAACAGUAACGAAGUGCUGUUCGAGUACCGAGUCAUCACCUUAUCAGGUGAGUGCAUGGUCCCUUUCAUCUUACACAUAGAUAUGAAGUAUUUUAUAUAAAUUACGUGCUGUGUGUGCAUAUUAUCUGAAUACUCGCUGUCUAUGCUGGAUGAACGAUUUUAUACAUGUUUUAAAUGAUUUAAAUUGUAUAUGUAUUUUAUAUCUACGAUAAUGUUGGGGCAUAACAUGGGUAGAUGUAAUAGAUGGAAUAUGAGUUGGAUGAUGAGUUGAGAGGUGUUAUAGACUACGAGGUGAGGGUGAGGGGUGGACAAUGUGAGAAGACUUUUCCCAAACGAUGGACCCAUCAUUCAGUAGAGUAUUGAUGACAACCACAGGCUAUUCUAUACAGUCCUGUGGAACACUAGCAGGCUCGCAACUUGUAGGNUGCCUAAACCUUGGCGAUCAUGCAGACUUGAUGCCUAAACCCUGGCGACUAUGUAGACUUAGUGCCCGUUGUGUAAACCUUGGCGAUCAUGCAAACUUGAUGCCUAACCCAUGGCGACUAUGCAGACUUAGUGCCUGUUGUGUAAACCGUGGCAACGAUGGACUUCGUGCCGAUUCCUUAGGAUGAUCCUUAGGAAUGAAUGAACGAGGAAUAGCUGAUUCUUAGGGUAGAUCCUUAAGACUAAAGAAGAUAAUGGGGAUGGGUAAUUGGGUUGAUUGUUUGAUUGUUUAAACAUAAUAAUUAUAUUAUUGUGGGUUGAAAACCCUAUGUACUCACCAGGUUUCCCAACCUGACCCACUCAGUUUAUUUAUAUCACAGGUGUUGAUAUGAAGUCACAUUACACUGAGUGAUUAAAGAGAAGUAGAUCACUAGUGUAAAUAAAUGUAAGUUCCGUUUAUGCUUAUGUUUUUGUAUUGACGAUGACAUCCCAAACGUUUUAAAAUGAAUAAAAUACGUUUCUUCAAAAAUGUUUUGAUAACGUAUUUAUCGUGUUUUUCUGGGAACAAAUUCCGCAACAUUUUUAUUAAAAGAAGUACUCUGAUUUUUAUAAAGCAUAAAAAAAUCGGUUUUUUUUGGGCGUGAAAAAUGGGGAUGUCAAAGCCAGUCACUUAUUAGUGAACGGGUUUUGCCUUUAGGUUAGUGAUGGACCUACAUGUGGGGUGUCUACCUUACGAGUUAGUGAUGGACCCAUGUGUGGGGAGUCUACCUUACGGAUUAAUGAUGGACCCAAGGAUAGGAAUAAUUAAUAUUUAUCUAAUAUUAAAAAAAUAAAUAAUAACAGUUGACCUUAAUGAGACUAUAGUGAUGUAUAUGAUGUGAGUGAUGCAUGUGAAGUAUGUGAUGCACGUGAUGUAUAUGUUGUAUGCGACGUGUGUGAUGAUAUGCUAUAUGUGUUUUUCCUAACAUUGUACUUCUGGUUGACUCACUUAGCAUUUGUUGACACUUGUUUCUUUGCUUUUUGUUGCCUUGUAUUGAUAUAUGUAGCAUAGUUUGAUAGCUUGGUGAGGAUGGAGCUUUGGAUAGUUACAUUCGAGUUUAUGUCUUAGUAUUGGUAUCAUUUGGACAUAUCGUUAAGUUUACUUAACACUUGUUUUUGAUAUUUUAUUUUAAUUUGGUUUAUGAACUUUAUCUUGAUUAAUGAUGUUUUCAUAAAGCUCAAAAUAAAACUUCCGCUAACGUAUUCUGUUAACUAAAUGUUUUAAAAAAUAAAAAAAUUAGGUGACAAAUCAUGAUGUUACGUCCUCCUCCAAACUUCUUGGAACAAGUCUUCGAGUAUCUGCUUUUCUUGCUGGAUCUUGACGAUCCCAUAACUUCUUUUUCUCUUCGAUCUCCGCUCUCUCCAACCCUAAUCAAUAAUCAAAGUAAUAAUCCACAUUCAAAGGGUCUUGGUUCACAGCUACCCUCCUGAUGAGUUUUGAUACAAAAUAUAAGUUAGUUUUUCAUAAAAACCAGGAAAUGGAAGCUCAAAAAUAAGAAGUUUAUUUAUGAGUUUAUAACAAAACAAAACCAUCUAGGAUCAACUCAAAUAAGCACUAUAAGAGACAACUCAAGGAAGCUUUAAUUCACCAAACUAGCUUCAAAAGAGAGAAAGAGGGGAGUAGAAGAGAAGCUACAACUUAUUAUCAUGUAGAGACGAUCCAAGACCAAAAAACUAGUCCAAAAUUCAUGCAAGGCACUUGUCACACCCUCGAACCGGAACGGCGGAAACGUUCGAGGGCGGAUGGCUUCAUGUACAGUAUUAUAACAAUUAUAUAUAAAUGAAACAUAGCAACACAAACAUUCAUACAUUGAGAUUUCAAGUAUUACAUUGUUUACAAAACUUUGUUUGCUCGAAAAUUGAAUACAAAUAACGGAAAAGUAGAAAGCAUGAAAACGCGACGCUGGCCCUCAAAAUGGUUUGAAUACUUGUUUACUGAUUUCCUGAGAACAGAAAUGAUUUUGAAAAGUGUCAACAUCUAAGUUGGUGAGUCCAUAAGCAUUUUGUAUGAAAAGAGUUUGUAAUUGUUUUGCAUAAAAUGGUUUUGUCUACUUCCAGAAAAUCCGAUAUUUUCUUUAAAAACGAGUUGUAAGUCUUAUACCCAAGACUAAAAAUGUAUGUAUUUUCUUUGUAUCUUUUCCUUGUAAAAUGAUAAUGUAUGUUUUCAGAAAAUCCAAUAUUUUCUUAUAUAUGAACUGUAGUCUUAAACCCUAACACCAGAAAUAUAAGUAAUGUUGUACUGAAAGAUAGUAUGUAGUUUUAUCUUUUUAUAAAACUGAUGAAGUGUAAGCUUCCCGUAAAUCGAGUAGUAUUAUUAAUACCUAUGUGAGUUACUAUAACCAUGGUUAAUAUGACUGAUAUGCCUGAACGACGUUCUUCAGACGUCAGAAUUGAUAAAAAUUUGUCAUCGUAGACUUGCCGGUCUAGCUGUAGUGAACAACUGAGGUGUGGGGUUGUCAAUCCCGUUUAGAUCUAUACACAACUAUCUCGCUCCCCCUGUAGGAGACUCUGGUUAUAAUAAUGACUUAAAGUGUACGUUCGGUAGGUAUGGUGAAGAGAAUGUCUCACAAUAGCACCAACAGAUUUACGUGAACUAUGACUCCUUUUUCUUGUAAAAUGAAAUAAUUAUACCAUUAUAUAAUUAUAUGGUUCUUCUAAAAUGAAAGUGUGGUUUUGUGACUCCCAAACUUUACCAUUUAUAGUUUAUCUUGUAUGUUUUGUCAAGUCCAUUUAUAUAAUCAAAUAUAUAAAUACAUGUAAGUUAUCAUGUCUAGAUGUUUUAAAAGAUUAUAAUAUAUAAGCUUACAUCUAAACACAAGUAUAAAAACAUUUAGUAUGAUGAAGACAAUUUCUAGUUUUUGACUUUUCUGUCUAUGUUUUUAGAAAAAUUAUAGAAAAAUCAUCGUAAGUCAAAAUUUGGAUCCGUAAAGUCUCAGAGAUUAGAAAAUGAAUCUACUUUGUCCAUAAUAUUUUUCCUUGACCUUAAGUGGUUCCUAGCCUGAGUGAAAACAUUCAUUUUUACAGACUGGUCCGAAAAUGUUCUGAAAUGAUAGGCAGUUUUGUAAAACUCACCAUAGAUUGUAGAAAAAUCGUAUGAACGUGUGCGAGUAAUCCUUAAAAAGGUAUAGACAUGAACUAUUUUCAUAUUUAACAUUUUAAAAUAUAUGAAGUUUAAGUAGGGUAAAACAGUCUGUUAACAGACCACAACUUUUUUGUAAAAAGCUGUUUUUUAAGAUUAAAUAUGUUUUAGUGACAUAACUUGUAUUUUUAGUUUGCAAAGCCUUUAGAUUAUCCAAAUAGGAUUUGUUUACUUUNGUUUGUUUUUCCCCCCCCCCCCCAAAAAAAAAAAAAAACUUGGAAAAACUUGAAAAUGAAGGGGUAUGAACUAACCUUGAGUGUGUUUGUGGUUGGUUAAAGGGAUGAAGAUGAAGAUCCUCAAGCUUAGAACACUUGAAGAUGGUUGAAGAACAC